GAAAUGCGAUAAGUAGUGUGAAUUGCAGAAUUCAGUGAAUCAUCGAAUCUUUGAACGCACAUUGCGCCCCUUGGUAUUCCAUGGGGCAUGCCUGUUCGAGCGUCAUUUGUACCUUCAAGCUUUGCUUGGUGUUGGGUGUUUGUCUCGCCUCUGCGUGUAGACUCGCCUCAAAACAAUUGGCAGCCGGCGUAUUGAUUUCGGAGCGCAGUACAUCUCGCGCUUUGCACUCAUAACGACGACGUCCAAAAGUACAUUUUUACACUCUUGACCUCGGAUCAGGUAGAGAUACCCGCUGAACUUAAGC
rnacentral:misc_RNA from 1 species